rnacentral:rRNA from 1 species
UACGUAUGGUGCAAGCGUUAUCCGGAUUUACUGGGUGUAAAGGGAGCGCAGGCGGCACGGCAAGCCUGAUGUGAAAGCCCGCGGCCCAACCGCGGGACUGCAUUGGGAACUACCGGGCUGGAGUGCCGGAGAGGUAGGCGGAAUUCCUAGUGUAGCGGUGAAAUGCGUAGAUAUUAGGAGGAACACCAGUGGCGAAGGCGGCCUACCGGACGGUGACUGACGCUGAGGCUCGAAAGCGUGGGGAGCAAACAGG